UUGGUUAAGUUAGAAAGGGCGCACAGUGGAUGCCUUGGCACUAGGAGCCGAAGAAGGACGGGACUAACACCGAUAUGCUUUGGGGAGCUGUACGUAAGCGUUGAUCCAGAGAUUUCCGAAUGGGGGAACCCACUAUCUUUAGUCGGAUAGUAUCCUUACGUGAAUACAUAGCGUGAGGAAGGCAGACCCAGGGAACUGAAACAUCUAAGUACCUGGAGGAAGAGAAAGAAAAAUCGAUUUCCUGAGUAGCGGCGAGCGAAACGGAAAGAGCCCAAACCAAGAAGCUUGCUUCUUGGGGUUGUAGGACACUCUAUACGGAGUUACAAAAGAAAGUUAUAAAUGAAGCGGUCUGGAAAGGCCCGCCAAAGACGGUAACAGCCCGGUAGUUGAAAUAGCUUUCCCUCCAGAGUGGAUCCUGAGUACGGCGGAACACGUGAAAUUCCGUCGGAAUCCGGGAGGACCAUCUCCCAAGGCUAAAUACUCCCUAGUGACCGAUAGUGAACCAGUACCGUGAGGGAAAGGUGAAAAGCACCCCGGAAGGGGAGUGAAACAGUUCCUGAAACCGUGUGCCUACAAGUAGUUAGAGCCCGUUAAUGGGUGAUAGCGUGCCUUUUGUAGAAUGAACCGGCGAGUUACGAUUUGUUGCAAGGUUAAGCGGAAAAAGCGGAGCCGUAGCGAAAGCGAGUCUGAAUAGGGCGCAUAAGUAACAGGUCGUAGACCCGAAACCAGGUGAUCUACCCAUGUCCAGGAUGAAGGUAAGGUAAUACUUACUGGAGGUCCGAACCCACGCACGUUGAAAAGUGCGGGGAUGAGGUGUGGGUAGCGGAGAAAUUCCAAUCGAACUUGGAGAUAGCUGGUUCUCUCCGAAAUAGCUUUAGGGCUAGCCUCGAGGUAAAGAGUCAUGGAGGUAGAGCACUGUUUGGACUAGGGGCCCUUCUCGGGUUACCGAAUUCAGAUAAAC
rnacentral:rRNA from 1 species